rnacentral:lncRNA from 1 species
GCAUCAUCAGUACCAGCAAGGACACACAUACAGCCACAAAGCAAGACCUAGGAGAAAUAUUUGGUGCUCUACUCUCCUAGGGAACUGGAAGGAACCUGCUCUCUCCUGGGUAUACUUUUCUAAUUUUAGAGUGCUAAAGAAGCUCUUCUCACAGGGACCCGAGUGAAUCCUUUCUCCUUGGAACAAAGGACAAGAAAAAAAGAAAGGACUUUACCGCAGAAAUGAUGAAGAUCAUGUCUCCAAGUCUUUUCUGCCGUUGCCAGUAUUCUCUCCCAAUCUCCUGUGGGCAACUUCUUCGGGAAAACACUCAUGCAAUUUCAUAAGGACAAGCGAAAAUAUGAAGAAGCUGGAUCUUGGAACUAGGCUUUGAUCACAGAGCGGAGCUGAGAUGAAAGUCCAUCCACUCAUUCAACAAAUAAUUGAGUACUUACAAAAAUUUCUGCUGUAUGGAGCUUAUAUAGUAGUGAAUAUCAAUUCUUAUUUUAUGGAUUAUAAAACAGAACUUUUUGCAACAAUUUUACACUACCCUAGGGGUACCUAUGAGUCUUCAUGCCUCAAGUAAUUGUCCUGUCCAUGUGACUAUGGAAGCCCUGAAAUCUUUGAAACCCCAGAUGACCCAUUUCACCAGACGCUUGGACAUUCUCCGUCGAGUUUGGAUUUAUAAGAUGCCACAUUUUGUUGGAACUCAGAGUUAUGAGUGGCCCUCGCCAUACCUACACUUUCUGACUGAGCUCCUCUCUACCCUGAAUACAAGAGACCCUAAUAGGCAGGAAUAUCAUCACCCCUCUUCAGCCUGAAGAUGUUACAGAAGAUGGAUAUUUGUCCGUUUACAACCCUUAAGAUUAAGGGUUCCCCUGUAAAAGGGAGGGGGAAAAUAUGUCAGAGAUGUUUGAACCAGAGCAACUUCGUCCUGAAUAGUGGCUCGGUAAAGUGAGGCUGACACCUAUGGACUGCAUUCCCAGGAGGUUAGGCAUUCUUAGUUACGGGAUGAAAUAGGAGUUUGGCACAAGAUGGGUCAUAAAGACCUUGCUGAUAAAAGGAUGUGGUACAGAAGCUGGCCAAAACUCACCAAAAUCAAGAUGUGAUGAAAGUGACUUCUGGUAGUCCUCACUCCUCAUUACACUAAUUAUAAUGCAUUAGCAUGCUAAAAGACACGUUCACCAGCACCAUUAUGGUUUACAAAUGCCAUGGCAAUAUCAGCAAGUUACCCUAUAUGGUCUUAAAAGGGGAGGAACCCUCAGUUCUGGGAAUUGCCCACCACUUUCCCAGGAAACUCAUGAAUAAUCCACCCUUUAUUUAGCAAAUAAUCAAGAAAUAACUAUAAGUAUAAUCAGUUGAGCAGCCCAUGCCACUGCUCUGCCUGUGGAAUAGCCACUCUUUUAUUCCUUUACUUUUUUAAUAAACUUGUUUUCACUUUAC